rnacentral:pre_miRNA from 1 species
UCGUCACCUGGAGUUCUCCACAAACUACUUCAGUAGCCACACAUGUUUCAUGGCAAUGUUUACAUGUUUGUGUGCAUGCAUGCAUCUGGCCGGAGCUGUGUACUUACUGAAGUGUUUGGGGAACUCUGGGUGGCAA